ACAAAUUUAGGUUGAAAAUGGAAAAAUUAGAUAACAAGUUGUGCAAUUUUUUAUGCCCAACCAUACGAUGAUAAUUUUUUAUUUAAAUCUAAGAAUACUGAUGAAUUACAAACGUUCUCUUUAUCUUGAUAUUAUAACAGACAAUAGACUGUAACACAUCCAAGAAAAAGAUUCCAUUUUAACAUCGGAUCUAUGCAUAUAAAUUUCAUUUUCCAAUGGUUAACGAUAUAAAGAAAUCUUUUAACUAAUGUCUCUUUCAUAGAGAUCGUAUGUUAAUUAUUAUGCAAAUAGAAUCCAACCACAGUUUCAAGGAAUAAGCAAGACAUAAAUCUGUUAAAAGAUAAUCAACCAUUUUACUGGAAGGGAGAACGCAUUAUUUUCAACAACGAUAAGAAGAAGCCGACGAUACAAAAAUCAUGAAAGAUUUGGGAAGACACCGUCUUCUUUUUAUUCACUCUGGGAAGAAACCAUGUGCAUUAAUAUUCCAUCAAAAGAAUUGAAAAAUGAAUGCAUUUUAGUUAUUUAUAAAUUAUUUUCUACAAUAAUUCUUAUUAAACUAUAAUCUCUUGCAUCUUUUUGACCAAUAUCAGUAUACAUUUAAAUUCUUGUUUCAGUUUUGGAGAUUUCUAAAACUAAUGCAGAGAAGUGUAAUCCCUAUUACUAUCGUUAUAAAAAUGUAUCUAAAAGAACGUACUCAUCACAAACAAACAUGGAACGUUGUAAGGCGUAUAGGUUGUGAAAGAAAAUAUUUUGUUACGUAAAAGAAGUAUAAUUUCUUACAUGCAUACAUUCAUGUCUCGCUUAUUCCUUGUAACUGUGGUUGGAUUCUAUUUGCAUAAUAAUUAACAUGCGAUCUCUAUGAAGGAGACAUUAUCCUUGAUUGGAACAAAAAAUGUAGAGCCACACACUUAGAUAAAACUAUUUGGGAAUAUAGUUUAUAUAUGAAAUAUAAAAAAUAUAGAAACGAGUAUCAGAGCACCAUAAAUUGAAUUAAAAAACAAUAUAAUACAUAUAUUUUAGUCGAUUUAGAGAAGUUACAUGUCUGGGUAAAGUUACUAUUUGCCAUGGUGGCAAGUUUGGUUUAGGCAUAUCCUGGUCAAGGAUAAGAGAAAGGCUAAUUAAAUAUGUCAAAUAUUCUGGCUGAUCUAUACAGAAAUAAAGCUCAUCCUAUGUAUUAAAUAAUAUCACAAAUAUUAUUAUUCUACUACUUGUUAUUCUAUAAUGAUUUGCAUUGAAUAUUUUGGAAAGCAAAUCUAUAAAUAUAAUAUAUAUAUGUAAGCUUUGUAUACAUGUGCCGGUGUAUUGAGUGAUUAGCUGUUUGGAUGUGGCGCUAUACAUCGGAUAAACAAAAA
rnacentral:lncRNA from 1 species